GAUGAACGCUGGCGGCGUGCCUAAUACAUGCAAGUCGAGCGAACAGACGAGGAGCUUGCUCCUCUGACGUUAGCGGCGGACGGGUGAGUAACACGUGGAUAACCUACCUAUAAGACUGGGAUAACUUCGGGACACCGGAGCUAAUACCGGAUAAUAUAUUGAACCGCAUGGUUCAAUAGUGAAAGACGGUUUUGCUGUCACUUAUAGAUGGAUCCGCGCCGCAUUAGCUAGUUGGUAAGGUAACGGCUUACCAAGGCAACGAUGCGUAGCCGACCUGAGAGGGUGAUCGGCCACACUGGAACUGAGACACGGUCCAGACGCCUACGGGAGGCAGCAGUAGGGAAUCUUCCGCAAUGGGCGAAAGCCUGACGGAGCAACGCCGCGUGAGUGAUGAAGGUCUUCGGAUCGUAAAACUCUGUUAUUAGGGAAGAACAAAUGUGUAAGUAACUAUGCACGUCUUGACGGUACCUAAUCAGAAAGCCACGGCUAACUACGUG
rnacentral:rRNA from 1 species